AUGGUCUUAGCUUGCUAAGGCCGAUGGCGACCGGCGCACGGGUGAGUAACACGUAUCCAACCUGCCGUCUACUCUUGGACAGCCUUCUGAAAGGAAGAUUAAUACAAGAUGGCAUCAUGAGUCCACAUGUUCACAUGAUUAAAGGUAUUCCGGUAGACGAUGGGGAUGCGUUCCAUUAGGUUGUUGGCGGGGUAACGGCCCACCAAGCCUUCGAUGGAUAGGGGUUCUGAGAGGAAGGUCCCCACAUUGGAACUGAGACACGGCCCAAACUCC
rnacentral:rRNA from 1 species